rnacentral:lncRNA from 1 species
AGAAUAUUCGUCACAAAUAACAAUGGAGAAUUUGAAGUAAUAAUUACAGAUCUGAGUGUAAUGGAUGCUGGCAUAUACAGAUGUGGUUUCAGUAGUUUCCCUCACACAUAUGAGUAUGUGGAAAUUACCGUUUCUGAUCUAAGUGGAGUAAACACAGCUCCUCUCUCGCCAAAAUCCAACAUUAAAGCAGCAGUCUGGCCGUCGUCUUCUCCCUCUGCACCCAUUGUUUCUGAGAAUGACGCAGAGACACUCAGGAGCAGGAUGGCAUUAUCUACUCUAUGGUGGAGUUUAAGCCCCACCAGGAUCCAUCUGAACUUUAUGCCAAUUUGCAGAUACACCGCCCAAAAGACGUUAAUGCUUCUUCAAGCUGUACAGUCACAGUAAAGGAAACCGUAGAAUAUUCCACUAUUAUGAGAGCAUCAGCAUAAACAUUUGCAAUG